rnacentral:misc_RNA from 1 species
GGUGGGGGGGGGGGGUGGGUGGGUGUGGUUUUUGGUGUGUGGUGGGGGGAAAGAAGAAAAUUACAUAAAGAAUGUAACAUUUUAUAUCUUCCUAAAGCAUCAAAGAAAAGAAGGCCUCGCAUAGAAACUUAUCCAUAUACACAAACAGAAACUUCCUAGAGAAUGGAUUUAACCACCUGACAUCUAUUCCUCUUUUGCUCUUUGAUUCUUUGUUAGGGAACAAUUAGGAGGAUUGAAAAUAGCUUUUCUCAUCUUGUUAGGAUAGGAGGGAUUGAAAAUGGUAUGAAAAUUGUUUUAUGAUGGAAAAAUUACAAGUUUAUCUUUCAUCUUUAUCAGGAUGCUAAUUUCUUCAUUUUACAUCCAUUUUCCUUCCAAAAUUUGGAAGAAGAAUUUUGUGGGAUCAAUGCACAACUUUCUCUCCAUUUUCUUAUGCCCCCACUUUCCUUCCUUCUCCAAAAUGGAAAAAUGCAACUAUUCAAAAUUUUCUCCCCCUUUUUCUUUCCUGACAUUUUCCUCUGUCUUGCAUAAUGUAAAAGCAAGGUUUCAAGAUUCAAACCAUGUAAUGGAUUAGCAUGGGCAGUGAUUCUUCAAACAUCUAGCAAAUUCACAAAUAAAAGGAAAUAUAAAAACAAAAACUCUUCAUUCGUAUGAUGUCAGACUGAUUUCUUAUAUCUCAAACAGCACAACUGAUCUUAUAAUUACUUCUAAAACUGUUUAUACAACUUUAUACCUUUGGAAACAAGAGACCUGGUCCACUAGUUGAGUUGAUCAUAAGAACCUCAACAAUCUUCUCAGCAUCGGUAUCACCAUUUUCAUAGUAAUUUCUAUACCUAAAAGGAAUACACCUGCCAAUAUAAUCUGUAGAGUUAGUGACUCGAGAUCAAACAACAGUGAGCUUUUGCACCAUCGAUCAAAAGCAUCAGCAACAUUCUCAGAGCUGAUACAAAAUGUUUUGGCAUAAAUGUUAAGCUUUUCACUAUUUAGCUCCCAACAGCCAGCGAUUCAGCAGACACAAUAUGAAUUCACAGAAAACAAAAGAUAUUACUAUCCAAAAAGAAAAUGUGAAGGAAAAAAAAAGUGACACGUCAAAAUUUCGGGAGAAUACACAAAGAAAUUAAGAAAUUGGCUUAGCUUAAGUAGAAUAAUCUAUCCCCAUCUCGCUGCUAAGCAGAGAGGGCCAUGCACUGUGUAUAACAAUUAAAAAAAUGCCAUACAGAACAAUUACAGGAAUCCUCAACAUGCACAUCCCUUAAUAUUAAGAAAAUAUUAAGAAAUAAACAUUGUUUGAGUAUAGGAUUCGUAUUCCUUUAUAUUUUGCAAUUGGCAAUUAAAAUCAUUCGAAAAUAGAAGAGAAUCAAAUAAGAGAGAGCUUAAGGGGAAGUAAAUAUUAGCAUCUCUAAUGCAGUGAUUUUAAAAUAAAAAAGAGGACUUAGAACAUUUAAGAGAAAUUAGUAACAGUCUAAGGAACACUGCCAUAUCAAAUCCUUUCUAGAAGAAUAUGCUCAACAACUCCUUUCACAACUAAUAUUUGCAAACCCCGCCAAUAGAAUUCAUCCUACAAUCAAUAAUGCAUCACCUCACCAACUAUUCACUUUCAAAGUCAGUGCCCGAAAGAGAGAGAAAAUCAGAGACGAAUGAUAUAAACCGGUCCCACAAAACACCCAUGAGAAGAAAAAUGUAACCAAAAUGGCCAAUUACAUUACGAGAAAAAAAAGAAUGAAUCCCCAUAAAGCUUAAAAAACAAGAGUAUUAGUGGAACACCAGUGUGUACAAAACACCAUUAACCUUUUACUAAGAAAAUCUAAAAGAUAACCCAUUAAGUGAUAAUGGCAUUAUCAAACAUUUGACAACCUCAUAAAUCAUCAUAUCCAAACACAUAUACCUAUACAAAUACGAAUGUACACAUAGAAAUUGUUUGGGAAAACUACGAAGGCAAAUACCCGGCGACAAGGCGACAACCGCCCUCGUACCGCUGCUGAUGUCGACCAGUGCGGCCAACCAAUGCAGACAUGCUAAGGAAUGAAUCCUUUUUCCCUUCCCAAAUGGAGGGGCCCAUUGGUUUGGCCCUGCCUCUACUGCAAAUCUGACAAACUGCUUAUGCAUGCACAGGAUAAAAUCUCCUGCAUUGCUGGUCUCGGCGCCGAUGGUGGAGCUUAACGCAAUGUGACAUGAUCGAAUGGCUGCGAAUUUUUCUCUUUUUGGGUGAUUUCGUUCCUAGGUUUAGUCGCAGAAGAGGGAAAAUAAAAAAAAAAUAUAUUAAAAAAAAGGAGAGAUUUUUUUCACCUUUUGCUUUCAGAUCUUUGGAGAGAAAGUUCAGCUCUUUU